rnacentral:rRNA from 1 species
AGAGUUGAUCAUGGCUCAGGACGAACGCUGGCGGCGUGCCUAACACAUGCAAGUCGAGCGAGGAGAUCCUUCGGGAUGAUCCUAGCGGCGGACGGGUGAGUAACACGUGGGCAACCUGCCUCAUAGAGAGGAAUAGCCUUCCGAAAGGGAGAUUAAUACCUCAUAACAUUGCAGUUUCGCAUGGAACAGCAAUUAAAGGAGUAAUCCGCUAUGAGAUGGGCCCGCGGCGCAUUAGCUAGUUGGUGAGGUAACGGCUCACCAAGGCGACGAUGCGUAGCCGACCUGAGAGGGUGAUCGGCCACAUUGGGACUGAGACACGGCCCAGACUCCUACGGGAGGCAGCAGUGGGGAAUAUUGCACAAUGGGGGAAGCCCUGAUGCAAGCAACGCCGCGUGAGUGAUGACGGCCUUCGGGUUGUAAAGCUCUGUCUUCAGGGACGAUAAUGACGGUACCUGAGGAGGAAGCCACGGCUAACUACGUGCCAGCAGCGGC